CACAGGUCUCUGCUAAAGCGCAAGCUGAUGUAUAGGGGCUGACGCCUGCCCGGUGCUGGAAGGGUAAGGGGAAUAGUUAGCGCAAGCGAAGCUAUGAACUUAAGCCCCAGUAAACGGCGGCCGUAACUAUAACGGUCCUAAGGUAGCGAAAUUCCUUGUCGGGUAAGUUCCGACCCGCACGAAUGGCGUAAUGAUUUGAGCACUGUCUCGGCAAUAAAUCCGGUGAAAUUGUAGUGCAAGUGAAGAUGCUUGCUACCCGCGGUUGGACGGAAAGACCCCGUAGAGCUUUACUGUAGCUUAGCAUUGAAUUUCGGUAUUGUCUGUACAGGAUAGGUGGGAGACUUAGAAGCGAGGGCGUCAGCUUUCGUGGAGUCGUCCUUGGGAUACCACCCUGACAGUACUGGAAUUCUAACUGGAGGCCAUGAAUCUGGUCACAGGACAUUGCUAGGUGGGCAGUUUGACUGGGGCGGUCGCCUCCUAAAAGGUAACGGAGGCGCCCAAAGGUUCCCUCAGCGCGGUCGGAAAUCGCGCGUAGAGUGCAAAGGCAGAAGGGAGCCUGACUGCGACACAUACAGGUGGAGCAGGGACGAAAGUCGGGCUUAGUGAUCCGGUGGUUCUGUAUGGAAGGGCCAUCGCUCAACGGAUAAAAGCUACCUCGGGGAUAACAGGCUGAUCUCCCCCAAGAGUCCACAUCGACGGGGAGGUUUGGCACCUCGAUGUCGGCUCGUCGCAUCCUGGGGCUGUAGUCGGUCCCAAGGGUUGGGCUGUUCGCC
rnacentral:rRNA from 1 species